rnacentral:rRNA from 1 species
CUCGACUACAUGAAGCUGGAAUCGCUGUAAUCGCGGAUCAGAAUGCCGCGGUGAAUACGUUCCCGGGUCUUGUACACACCGCCCGUCACACCAUGGGAGUCGGAAAUGCCCGAAGUCUGUGACCCAACCUUAGGGAGGGAGCAGCCGAAGGCAGGUCGGAUGACUGGGGUGAAGUCGUAACAAGGUACC